rnacentral:lncRNA from 1 species
CGAUGUUUGUGAAAGAUGCAUUCCAAUAUGAUCAAUGUGCUAUUAUUGACAACUUAAAAUGGCUGCAAGGGAUAUGAAUCAUGUAUUGAAAUACGAAGGCCUCAAAUUGAAAUUGGAGUAGCAUAUAUUAAAUAAAACUGUGUGAAGGCCUCUGUAUAUAGAAAUGUUGAAAUAAGUCAAAUGUUUUUGAGAAAUAGAGUAUAGACAAUGUGUCGAUAACUCGAAAUGAAAUUGUACCUGGUGAUACUUCUGACUUGAGGGAAUAUGAAACAGAUUAUGAUGUUGAUGUGAAAUAUGAGGAAAUGAUGUGAAAUGCGUGGAAGAAGAGACUGUGUUAUGAAAUGUGGCUUAGUGCCAAGUCUGAUGUGAUAAUUGUGGCCCCGAGAUCCGAUGGACUAAUAUACGUAAAAAUGGCAUGAUUCUUUUAUUUGGUAAUGUGGUGAUUGUUCAAACUUUUGUCUAAAUCCUUAUAACAUCCUUCUCCUUGCAUAGACUUGUUCUUAAAAUAAAUCUAAAUUAAAAACAUUUCAUUCACCAUCAUAGAGUUUGUACAUGUGGUAUCAAGUUACAUGCAAAGUAUCCAAGAUUUGUGAUCCUUCUCGAGUCACUCUUUUACACAGUUGUGUGUAUGGCUUAUAUGGCUUGAACAUCCAAUCCACUCUCUUGCAAGUAACAUCAUGAAAAC